rnacentral:rRNA from 1 species
UACGGGGGGGGCAAGCGUUGUUCGGAAUUACUGGGCGUAAAGGGCUCGUAGGCGGCCAACUAAGUCGGACGUGAAAUCCCCAGGCUCAACCUGGGAACUGCGUCCGAUACUGGAUGACUUGAAUCCGGGAGAGGGAUGCAGAAUUCCGGGUGUAGCGGUGAAAUGCGUAGAUAUCUGGAGGAAUACCGGUGGCGAAGGCGGCAUCCUGGACCGGCAUUGACGCUGAGGAGCGAAAGCCAGGGGAGCAAACGGG